UUUGCAGUGUUAUGAAUGUACUUCUAUUUUUGUGCUCUAUUCUUUCUUCUACUGGUUUCUAUAAGCAUGCUUUUACAUGUCUAUCUCGUAUGUUACUCUAAUGUAUUUUACUAAGCUUUUAAUCCUUGUUUGCCUUUACUGGACUUUCGUUUUAAACUCUAAGCAUGCUUCAUCUACUACUUUCCUAAGCUUAUGUCGCCUUUUCUCUUCUGAACUUAUUUGAGUGACAAGUGUGCUUAAAUGUGUUCCCGUGUUUCAAAUUAGUUUCCACAUUCUAUUUGCCUUGAACCUGAUGUUCUCUUUGUUUGUUUUCUCAUAAGUCUCUGAAAGAGACUACUGAGCCUGCUCUAGUUGUUGUCUUCUUGUCUAUGCAUCUGAUUGGAGUAAGAAACCCUA
rnacentral:lncRNA from 1 species